rnacentral:rRNA from 1 species
AUUGAACGCUGGCGGCAGGCUUAACACAUGCAAGUCGAACGAGUGGCGGACGGGUGAGUAAUGCUUGGGAAUCUAGCUUAUGGAGGGGGAUAACUACGGGAAACCGUAGCUAAUACCGCUUACCAUAGGAUGAGCCCAAGUGGGAUUAGGUAGUUGGUGGGGUAAAGGCUCACCAAGCCGACGAUCUCUAGCUGGUGUGAGAGGAAGACCAGCCACACUGGGACUGAGACACGGCCCAGACCCCUACGGGGAGCAGGAGUGGAGAAUAUUGCGCAAUUGGGGCAACCUGACGCAGCCAUGCAGCGUGAAUGAAGAAGGCCUUCGGGUUGUAAAGUUCUUUCGGUAGCGAGGCGUUAACUACAGAAGAAGCACCGGCUAACUCCGUGCCAGCAGCCGCGGUAAUC